rnacentral:rRNA from 1 species
AGCGUUUUCGGUGGCAGCCUGGGUAUAAAUCCUUUGGAAUAGGGUAUCAUAGAGGGUGAGAAUCCCGUCUUUGACUCAGUGCAUGCUACUAUGUGAUACGUUUUCAAAGAGUCGAGUUGUUUGGGAAUGCAGCUCAAAAUGGGUGGUAAAUUUCAUCUAAAGCUAAAUAUUGGCGAGAGACCGAUAGCGAACAAGUACCGUGAGGGAAAGAUGAAAAGAACUUUGAAAAGAGAGUUAAACAGUGCGUGAAAUUGUUGAAAGGGAAACGUUUGACACCAGUUAUGCGGGUGGAAAAUCAGUCUUUUGCAAUGGGGAGUUGUGGGCGUUCAGACCGCAAGGCUGGCGUUUGCUUCAUCUUUGUUGUAAGUGAUGCACUUUUUCAUUUGCAGGUCAACAUCAGUUUGCUUUGCUGGACAAAACCCCAAGGGAAGGUGGCAGCUUAGGCUGUGUUAUAGCCCUGGGGCGAUACAGUGGAGUGGACUGAGGUUUCGCAGUGUGUGCUCUCGGGCAAGGCUGACUGGGUGCUAUGGGAUCGUUCGGCGUACAAUGCAUGCAUUUUGCGUCGUGUCUUUUUUAUACUCGCUCAACUCGGCUCUUCCACACUUAGGAUGUUGACUUAAUGGUUUUAAACGACCCGUCUUGAAACACGGACCAAGGAGUCUAACAUAUAUGCAAGUGUUUGGGUGGCGAACCCAUGCGCGUAAUGAAAGUGAACGUAGGUGCGAUCCGCAAGGUGCAGCAUCGACCGAUCUUGAUAUUUUUGGAUAGAUUUGAGUAAGAGCAUAUAUGCUGGGACCCGAAA